UACGGAGGGUGCAAGCGUUGUCCGGAAUCAUUGGGUGUAAAGGGUGCGUAGGCGGGAGCUUAAGUCUGGGGUGAAAUCUUGCCGCUUAACGGUAAAAUGGCCCUGGAUACUGGGUUUCUUGAGUGUAGAAGAGGUAAGUGGAAUUCAUAGUGUAGCGGUGAAAUGCAUAGAUAUUAUGAAGAACAUCAGUGGCGAAGGCG
rnacentral:rRNA from 1 species